UUCGGGAAGUUAACACAUUAAAACAUUCUUCUAUUGGUUAUUUUGCAGUGGCAUUGCUGUGUCAAUGGUGAUGAAGUAUGCAGACAAUAUUGUAAAGGUUUAUUCGACAUCAGUGGCGAUGCUUCUCACCGCGGUUGUCUCUGUAUUCCUCUUCAAUUUCCAUCUUUCCCUUGCCUUCUUCUUGGGUUCAACGGUCGUCUCUGUUUCAGUAUAUUUGCAUUCCGCAGGGAAGCUACGAUAGUAAAGAUCUCGAAACUUACAUCUACCAAGAAAAUUGCCAUUAUUCUAGUACAGAGAUGAAGCUUUUUAACGAUUACGAUUUUGUUUUUCGUGUAGGUAAUAUUCACAAUUGUGCUUAUGUAUUUGAUUUAUUUCCCGUCACGAAACUUACUGUUCUCAUUUGUACGAAACCAAAAAUUAUCAAGAAUAGUAAAAAUUUCAGAAAUUAUAUGCGUA